UUGUGGAAAAUAGUUUCUGCUAUGCUGGUUGCUGAUUGGCCCAUUCAAAGGACGUGACAGCUCUCUCCCAGGGUCCGGCUUUUGCACCACUGCACUGGUUUCUGGUUUUGGACACACAGGGGUUUAAGAGUAGUGCACAGGAGAUGCUCUGUCUCUUAGCUAGGGACUGCCUUCAGACUGGGUUACGAUCAAGGAUGAAGAACCAUUUAGAAAGUGUGUGCAGCCUGAUGACUCAUUACUGCUGCAGUCUAAGGAGGAAGCAUUCGAGAGUGGGUGUAGAAAUCUCAAAGGCUAUUGCAGAUACAAGUGCGUUGAAGUAAAACAGAUGUCAACUACUGGGACCUCAACAACCGCAGAUCACCAAGGCAACAUUACACUGAAAAAUGUGUCAAAAAUGCUUAGGUUCAGGCAGAAAUGGAAAUCCAUCAAACUACUUGCUUGCCAAAUCCACUUACUGCACUAUCAAUCAGCUGCUUCACUCUUGUGUUUUGCAAUUAGUAUCAUAAGUGAAAUUACAAGAUAGCUCAACAAGCUUCCUAGAUUACUGAGAGGGGAGAAAAAACACAUCUGCCAUUGAAGAAGACAGGCACAAUGUUCAGAGACUUAGUGGAAUCAAUUUUUGGAAUAUAGCAAUGUCAUUAGAUGUUCAUAAAUGAGGAGUGCAUGCACUUUUUUAAUUAAAGAAAACAAAGAUAAUUUCUUUUGCAAUUUGGAUUGGAUACUUAA